ensembl:lncRNA
UUUAUUUUGUUUAUUUUCUUCAAAAAUGUAAAUUUCAUGUUAAAAAUGUUUAAGAAAUGUUUAUGUGUGUUAAAAAUUUAGUAAGUUAAAACUAAUUUACCCGGAAGAGAGAUCCAAUCAGGAGUCAGGGUGAGAGGUCGUGAGGGGGGAGAGAGGAGAACGGGAGGAGAAGAUGGAGAGACAUGAGUGAGAAUCGCGCUGUGACUGUCACGUUAGAAAUUUGGUAAAACACCAAGUUAAUGUUGGUGAUAGUAGAUGUACUUGUAGCCUGCACGAAGAGUGAGUUACAGACAUUUGACUGUUUACAGCGUGAAAGUUGAUGGUUUUGAGGAACUCGGUCAUCGGUUUCCACGAGGAGAAAGAGUGAACUGCUAGUCAGCACGAUUUAGUUACAAGGACUUUGCCAGCUAGUAGCCUGUCCGGUUGCCCUUUUGUGCAUCGUCUGAAAAAUGCACUUAUCUCCAGAACCAUUCCCUGCUUAGCUGUCGGACGACGUCUUCAAUCACCAGCAUCGCAAGCAUCGCGUUGCCGCGGCGUGAACGACGACACGCCUAUCAGCACUACCACAGCAGUGAUGAGUUUUUUUUUCUGCGCCACGGCGCGAAGUGGCCAUUGUGUUUAAGGUCUCCCCGCUCCCAAGCCACGCUUCAGGCCUGCAACGUGUUCUCUUAUGACUGUUGGGGUAUUCAUUUUAUUUCAUUAAGUGGGCAUUUAGUCAUGUUGCCGGCUUAGUUUUAAUUUUGGGGUUAUUUAAUUGUGUUUCAUUUGAAUUGCACUUGAUAUUUGAACUGUAUAUAUGUACAUACUAUGUUUUUUCAGUAAAUAGUUCAAACGAAUUUCUGUUGAAGAUUUGCAUUACAUUGGGUUUAUGACAUUUAUAAUUUUGAUACUUAAGGCAAGAAACUGAGUUUACAGUAGACUGGGUUAAAGUGAAAGUAUUUAUCACUAUUGAUUAAGAUAAGUGACCUGUGAAUUGAUGUUUAUUUCAUUUACAGUAUUGAUAGGCAUUUAAAACGGGUGGAAUAUUAAUGUAACUAUAAAAGUUAAUGUUUAUUUAACUCAGAACUUGAGAUAGCUGUAUACAAUUAGUGUUUUACUUUAAUUUUGCUAUAAAGACACUGUAUCCCCCUUUCUUAAGUCAAAAGCUGCUAUUAAGGUAAACAGUAACAAGCAAGUAAUAAUUAGGGAAUUACAUUUAGCGCAUUAAUUAAUUUAGAGAGAGAUCUUUUGAUAAAUAGGAAUUCGGGGAGCGCACUCCACACUAAUAGCUAUUCAUGCUAGGGGGCGCUACAGUAUAAUAGAAACAUCAACAGAGAUGUUCACAUGUUUCUGAUUCUUCUGUACUGUAAGUCUCUCUGAUUCUAUUUAAUACCAUUGAGUAUUUUGCACCUGUGCUCUUGGAGUCAUCUCUGCAGGACGCCCACUCUUGGGAUGAAUAGCAACAGUGCUGAAUAUUCUCCAUUUAUAGACAGUUUAUCUUACCAUGAAAAGAUAUUUGUAGGCGUGUAUAUUUGUAACUAUUAGGGCAGGCAUGGCUAGAGAGUCUGACUUUUAACCCAAAGGUUGCGGGUUCGAGUCUCAGGUCCAGCAGGAAUUGUGGGUGGGGAG